CCGCGAUAAUACGUAGGGUGCGAGCGUUAAUCGGAAUUACUGGGCGUAAAGCGUGCGCAGGCGGCUUUUUAAGCCAGACGUGAAAUCCCCGGGCUUAACCUGGGAACUGCGUUUGGAACUGGAAGGCUAGAGUGUGUCAGAGGGGGGUGGAAUUCCACGUGUAGCAGUGAAAUGCGUAGAUAUGUGGAGGAACACCGAUGGCGAAGGCAGCCCCUGGGAUAACACUGACGCUCAUGACACGAAAGCGUGGGGAGCAAACAGGAUGUAGAUACCCUGGUAGUCCACGCCCUAAACGAUGUCAAACUGGCUGUUGGGAGAGAAAUCUUUCAGUAGCGA
rnacentral:rRNA from 1 species